AGCUCCAAAGGCGUAUAUUAAAGUUGUUGCGGUUAACAAGCUCGUAGUUGGAUUUCUGCUGGGGCUGGCUGGUCUACCCGCUGGGUGAAUAUCGGGCAUAGCCUGAGCAUCUGUUUGAAAUAUGCUACUGCGUUUGACUGUGUGGUGUGGUAUUUACCGCUUUUACUUUGAUAAGCAGCAGAGUGUUCCACGCAGGCGCGUGCCUUGAUAUGUGAGCAUGGACUAAUGUUUC
rnacentral:rRNA from 1 species